UGCGUAGGUGGUUGUUUAAGUCUGUUGUGAAAGCCCUGGGCUCAACCUGGGAAUUGCAAUGGAAACUGGGCGACUAGAGUGUGAUAGAGGAUAGUGGAAUUUCCGGUGUAGCAGUGAAAUGCGUAGAGAUCGGAAGGAACAUCUGUGGCGAAGGCGACUAUCUGGGUCAACACUGACACUGAGGCACGAAAGCGUGGGGAGCAAACAGGAUUAGAUACCCCCGUA
rnacentral:rRNA from 1 species